rnacentral:rRNA from 1 species
AUGCAUAUGCCAUCACUUCAUGUUGAGAACAAUUCCGAGGCACCAUCGGCACCGGAGUACUGCAUCGAUGCUGGAUCCGUUGGAAGUUUCGCAAGGUUCAUAAACCACAGCUGCAACCCUAACCUCUUUGCCCAGUGUGUCCUAACCAAUCACCACGACAUCAAGCUAGAAAAGGUGAUGCUUUUUGCUGCCGACACGGUACUUCCACUUCAGGUAGCACCUAACGUCGACAACUGCGAUGUCAGGAACUCCCUCACAAUUGCCGAAUAUGUCGCUGAAAUUACAACUUCUACAGACAGACCAAGGAGUUGA